ensembl:snRNA U1 U1 spliceosomal RNA
AUACUUACCUAGUUAGGGAAGCACCACGAUCAUGAAGGUGGUUUUCCCAGGGUGAGGCUCAUCCAUUGCACUCUGGGUGUGCUGACCUCUGCAGGAAACCUGACUACACAAUUGGGGUAGUGAGGAUACCGCACUUGCAUUCUCCCCU